GAUGAACGCUGGCGGCGUGCCUAAUACAUGCAAGUCGAACGCUUCACUUCGGUGAAGAGUGGCGAACGGGGGAGUAAUACAUAAGUAACCUGGCAUCUACAGGGGGAUGUCUGAUGGAAACGUCAGCUAAGACCGCAUAUGUGUAGUGAUCGCAUGGACUCUAUAUGAGAAGUGCUACGGGACUGGUAUAUGAUGGACUUAUGGCGCAUUAGCUUGUUGGUAGGGUAACGGCCUACCAAGGCGACGAUGCGUAGCCGACCUGAGAGGGUGACCGGGCACACUGGGACUGAGAGACGGCCCAGACUCCUACGGGAGGCAGCAGUGGGGAAUAUUCGGCAAUGGGGGAAACCCUGACCGAGCAAAGCCGCGUGGAGGAAGAAGUAAUUCGUUAUGUAAAAUACUGUAAUAGAGGAAGAACGGUGGAUAUAGGAAAUCAUAUCCAAGUGACGGUACUAAAUAAGAAAGCCACGGCUAACUACGUG
rnacentral:rRNA from 1 species